GCUUAGAGAACAGGAAGUGGGAGCCACAUACCCCGAGCUGGCGGCUUGAGCCUGUGGUAUCUAGGCUCACCUCACUGCGGUUGGUGGAGGUGAUGGAGGUUGCAGCUUGGCCAGCAUGGUAGAAAGGUGGCAGGGUAGACUCUAGAUUCUAGAGGGCAACCUCUGUUUGCUCAUGCUGGAGCGUGGCAGGUGCACAAUGUUUCCUUGGGAAUCCUCAGCAGGGCACGUCUGGCUUUUACCACCCAGUUGCUUCGAGCCAGGAGAUGGAGGAGUCAUCUGUUGCACGCUGGAGGCUGGAGCCUGCAGAUGGCAUGGUUCUGUGGCUCACCUCGCUGCAGUUGGUGGCAGAGACAGAGACUGCAGCUUGACCAGAGUGGUGGAGUGAGUAUUGUCAUCUGCAUGAGCAAAUCUGGUUCAUCACAUCUUUGCAACAGGAAAAGGAAGGGAGGAUCAUGUGUAUAAUGUUUUAAGGCCAAGAUUCACAACAAGAACAAAGUCUUUAUUAACUUUUGCCUUCAAGAACCUGCAGUGUUGAGCCCUUUUUUAUUUCUGGUUGGAGUGCAGUGGCAUGAUCUUGACUCACUGCAACCUCCACCUCCCGGGUUCAAGCCAUUCUCUUCCCUCAGCCUCCUCAGUAGCUGGAUUACAGAUAUGUAUCUCAAGAGCACUCCACAACAAAGAUUCUGCCUGCAAUCCUCCACUUCAAGGUCUGUUCCAGGAAACCUGUGUAACACAGUUAUGCAUAGAGUGGUCUUAGGAAGCUGACUCUAACAUGAAAAUUUAGAGUUGGAUCUUUUGCUGACAUAUUGAAUAUUCAUAAGAGCAUAUGAUACAUUUGUCUAUCAUAAACAUGUCAUUUCAAAAAACCCUCAAAGUUGCCUUGUAGAACAUAAUUUUAAAACUAGUGUGUAGGAAUAUUUCAUAUCAGUUAUUCAGUCUUCUUAAUAUCUGAACCGAAAUUAAUCUUCCAUUCUGCUUUUAUUUAUAAAUAAUGAUUUAUUGUCAGAUUCAAUAAUUUAUAUUUUCAUUUAUUCUAAGGUAGGAAAUACCAGCAUAAAAAUAAAUUAUUUGAAACAAAUCA
rnacentral:lncRNA from 10 species